UACGGAGGGUGCAAGCGUUAAUCGGAAUUACUGGGCGUAAAGCGCGCGUAGGCGGCUUUGUAAGUCGGAUGUGAAAGCCCUGGGCUUAACCUGGGAAUUGCAUUCGAUACUGCUUAGCUAGAGUAUGGUAGAGGGAAGUGGAAUUUCCGGUGUAGCGGUGAAAUGCGUAGAUAUCGGAAGGAACACCAGUGGCGAAGGCGACUUCCUGGGCCAAUACUGACGCUGAGGCGCGAAAGCGUGGGGAGCAAACAGGAUUAGAUACCCUGGUAGUCCACGCCGUAAACGAUGAGAACUAGAUGUCGGGGGAACUUAGUCUCCCGGUGUCGCAGCUAACGCGUUAAGUUCUCCGCCUGGGGAGUACGCCGGCAACGGUAAA
rnacentral:rRNA from 1 species